rnacentral:lncRNA from 1 species
GGGCGAGAGUAGCACUAGGAUGGGUGACCUCCUGCGAAGUCCUUAUAUUUCACCUAUUUUCUUAGGAAGUCCUCGUGUUGCACCCAUUUUUUUGCAGAUGAUUCUUUCGACGAUACGCGCGACUUGAAUUAUGGUCCUCAGGUUUAUUCGCAAAUGUGAGUCACGGCACCGUAGCAUUUUACUUGAUAUUAGAACGAGCACGAGAGGUGUAGUGCGCGCGCACAAGGAAACAAAUGACGGGAGACGGAAGAAAGGAGAAGGAGUUUAUGUAUUUGCAGCGUGGAAUUAAACGUGUGCGAUCAUACCAGCACAAAUGCACCGGAUCUCAUCAGAACUCCGCAGUUAAGUGUGCUUUGGCGAAAGUAGUACAGUGAUGGGUUACCUCCUGGGAAGUUCUCGUGUUACACCCAUUUUCUUUUUUUCAGAUGUGCCGUUCGACGUUACGCACGACUUUAAUUAUGGUCCGCAGAUUUAUUCGUAAAUUUAAGUCACGGCGCCGUGGCAUUUUACUUGAUAUUUAAACGAGAUCGAGAGGUGCAGUGCGUACGCACAAGGAAACAAAUGACGGGAGGGGGAAGAUAGGAGAAGGAGUUUAUGUAUUUGCUGCGCAAAAUUAAACAGGUGCGAUCAUACCAGCACAAAUGCAGCGGAUCCCAUCAGAACUCCACAGUUAAGUGUGCUUGGGCGGGAGUAGUACUCGGAUGGGUGACCUCUUGACAGGCCUCGUGUCGCACUAAUUUUUUUUUUCCGACGGGUCGUUCGACGUUACGCGCGACUGGAACUAGGGUCCACUAGUUUAUACGCAAAUGUGAGUCAAGAAGCAGGGGUAUUUUAAUCGAUAUUAGAACGAGAAGGAGAGAAGCAGUGUGCACGCACAAGGAAACAAAUGACGGGAGGGGGGAUGGAGGGAGAAAAAGUGUAUGUAUUUGCAGCGCAGAAUGAAACAUGAGCAAUCAUACCAGCACCAAUGCAACGGAUUCUAUCAGAACUCCGCAAGUUAAGGGUGCUUGGGCGAGAGUAGCACUAGCAUGGGUGACCACCUGCGAAGUCCUUAUAUUUCACCCAUUUUCUUAGGAAGUCCUCGUGUUACACCCAUUUUUUUGCAGAUGAUUCUUUCGACGAUACGCGCGACUUGAAUUAUGGUCCUCAGGUUUAUUCGCAAAUGUGAGUCACGGCACCGUAGCAUUUUACUUGAUAUUAGAACUAGCACGGG